rnacentral:tRNA from 1 species
GCCCGCCUAGCUCAAUCGGAUAGAGCGUCAGACUCUUACUUUGACUAGUCACGGGCAUCUGAAGGCUGCGAGUUCGACCCUCGCGGUGGGCU